ensembl:snRNA U4 U4 spliceosomal RNA
AGCUUUGAGCAGUGGCAGUAUCGUAGCCAAUGAGGUUUAUUUGAGGCGCAAAUACUCCUAAUUGAAAACUUCUCCCAAUACCCCACCAUAACAAUUUGCAAUAUAGUUGGCACUAGCACUUUUUUUUUUAGAGACAAA